rnacentral:rRNA from 1 species
GGGGGAUAUUGCACAAUGGAGGAAACUCUGAUGCAGCAACGCCGCGUGAGGGAAGACGGUCUUCGGAUUGUAAACCUAUGUCCUCGGUGACGAUAAUGACGGUAGCCGAGGAGGAAGCUCCGGCUAACUACGUGCCAGCAGCCGCGGUAAUACGUAGGGAGCGAGCGUUGUCCGGAUUUACUGGGUGUAAAGGGUGCGUAGGCGGCUUUUUAAGUCAGGUGUGAAAGCCAUCGGCUCAACUGAUGGAGUGCAUUUGAAACUGAGGGGCUUGAGUGAAGCAGAGGCAGGCGGAAUUCCCGGUGUAGCGGUGAAAUGCGUAGAGAUCGGGAGGAACACCAGUGGCGAAGGCGGCCUGCUGGGCUUUAACUGACGCUGAGGCACGAAAGCAUGGGUAGCAAACA